rnacentral:rRNA from 1 species
UACGAAGGGGGCUAGCGUUGUUCGGAAUUACUGGGCGUAAAGCGCGCGCAGGCGGUUUUCCAAGUCAGUGGUGAAAGCCCGGAGCUCAACUCCGGAACUGCCAUUGAAACUGGCGAACUUGAGUACGAGAGAGGUGAGUGGAAUUCCCAGUGUAGAGGUGAAAUUCGUAGAUAUUGGGAAGAACACCGGUGGCGAAGGCGGCUCACUGGCUCGGUACUGACGCUGAGGUGCGAAAGCGUGGGGAGCAAACAGG